ensembl:lincRNA
GCCUGGAAGGCUUCUGGGAAGAGGUGCCGAAGGGUAAGUCCUCUCGGGUGGUUUUCAUUUGGUUUUGAGGUUUUUUUGAACAGCUAUUCAGGACUUUCCUGUUGGCUGCAGGAACUCGACAGGCUCAAAAGCAGGGAGUUUAAAGAAGUCGCAGCAGGGAAAACAAAGACUCAAUCUAAGGAAAUGACAUCGAGCCUUGAACUCGGCUACAGGGGAUGUGGAAAAGCGAAUGAGCUUUGCAAAGCAGUUGGGAUCUCAAGCUGCGCUCUUCCUGACCUUCUCAACCUUUCCAGGCUGUUACUGCUGCUACUUCCGCUCACCAAAAAGAAAAAAGCACGAAAACUCAGUGCCUCUUCAGUCUCGCGUCCUCCGCUAUUCCCCAAAGCAUCCCGAUUCCUGGAAAACAGCUUGCGUUUAUCUUCAAGCAAGCAAAUCUGCACCCAGAGAGGCCCAUGACCAGCAGCCAUCAGCUUCUGCCUCCUGCCAUUCCUCCCUGUCCACGCCAGCUGUUCAUGGUGUCUCCCAGUGAGCCCGGUCUGUAUUCCUGGCUGGGUGGGAGCGCUUCCGGGUUGAGGGGCAGCCUUUGUAAAAAGGUUGGGGGCUCCAACGAGGUGCUAAGCACAGCAGAGGCCAGGGAUUCUCCUGUGGUCAUACCCUUUCAGGCCAAGCUCCAGACUCUCGAAAAUAACAAUCAACAAAAGCAGGGCCCUCGUUUGUGCCAACCCUGGUGACAUUUUUCAGCCCUCAGAGCUCAGAGGAAUGUGGCCAUUUCAUUGAGGCUCUGGAAGGCACCCAUCUCAUUCCCCUUCCCCCACUCCCUAACACCCCGCCACCCCCCCUUCUCAUUUUGCUCUCUCUCUCUCUCUCUCUCUCUCUCUCUCUCUCUCGUCCUCCAGCAGAGGGAGGGAAAAAUAAGUGUGUUGUUCAUUCUGGAAACUGUAGGCCCUUGUGCGGGCUUUCCAUCCUGGCUCUGUUAAAGUUCAGAGUUGUCUGCUCACGGUCUGACGAAUCAUCAAUAAGAUUCUUGUUCGGGGCUUCCAAGGCCCACGCAGCGCUGGGCGGUUCAGCUGCUCGAUUCAUUGCCUUCGGCCAUGGCCAAGCUCUGCCUCCUGGUGACCUCCUCCCCCGGUUUUUCUCAUCUUGAGGCAGUCUUGCUUUUUGGUCACUAGGUUCCCAACCAUAAGCGUCUUCCCAACAUGCCGAAAAAGCUGCUCUUCAUGGCUCCCCCGCUGUUUUAUGCACAGUUUUAUUUAUUCAGCUGCAUUUGUUAAAGACCUGUGACUGACCAUGAUCUUCCCUCCAAAUAUGAAACAAAACAGACCUCUUCUUUAAGUAUAAAGACAUGCAUCCCUCUCCCUGCCCCAACAGUUCUGAAGAUGGAGCCACUGGGCAUAUUAUCUGUGCAAACGCAACUGCUGGGGACCGACCACAGUGAAGAACGUGGGAGAAGUUUCUGUGACUGGCAACGGCACCCUGUAGCUGCAACCAAGAACAGAAAAUCCCAAGUCCCUUCUUCCUGGUCACUGAGGAAUCCUCAAGUUCUCAAAAAGAG